UCCUCGAGAUAGGAGCCGAUCAGCCGGCGG
rnacentral:sRNA from 1 species